UACGUAGGGUGCGAGCGUUGCCCGGAUUUAUUGGGCGUAAAGGGCGCGCAGGCGGUACGGCACGUCCGUUGUGAAAUCGCUCGGCUCAAGCUGGGCGGGGUCAGCGGAUGACGGUCGUACUUGAGCAAGCGUAGGGGGCAAUGGAAGUUCCCGGUCGGUAGUGGUGGAAUGCGUAGAUAGUCGGGGAGGAACACCAGUGGCGAAGGCGGCAUCCUGGACCGACAUUGACGCUGAGGAGCGAAAGCUAGGGGAGCAAACGGG
rnacentral:rRNA from 1 species